UGUUUGGAUUACAGGUGUGAGCUACCGCACCCGGCAACAAGGACAUUUUUAUACAAGCUGAUAGGGCUGUGAAUUCCUGGUUGUAUGAGACGUGAAUUCCUGGUUGCUCCACUCCAUCUUUCCGGAGUGGAGACCCCAAAUUCUGUUGGGGAAAGUGUACAACUACUGCUCUUAACUGCUUCCUGCCGACAAGGGGUGCUGUUUUGGGAAAGUGGCAGUUAAGGCUCCUCCUGAGAAUCCUCCAUCUCAGGAAGGCCCCAGUAUUGCCAGGCUGGGAGAAACCCAAGCCAUGAGGAUAGACCAUGAAUAGGAGUUCUGGUUGACAAUCCCAGUUCACUCCCAGCUUCAAAUACACAAGGCCAAGUGCCAGAUACGGGCAUAAAAAGCAAUUUUGGAAGUGGACACUCCAGUCCCAGCUGUCCUAGCCCUCAGCUAUUUGAGUUGCAUCCAGACAUGUAAAUCUUCCCAGCUGAGGCCUCAUCAUUGAGGUGCAGAAAAGGGGCAUGCCCAUUGUGCCUGUUUCUAAAUUCCUGACCCACAGAACCUCUAAUCAGCAAUACAACUGGGAUUUGAUAUCAGAUUCAUGCGAUUCCGAAGACCCUGACCACCAAAUGCAAAAGGAUAAGAGGGCAUCUCUUCUUCCAUAUUCAUAAAUACGUUGCCAACAGGAAUUUGUUGUUAUUUACACUUUCUUCUCCUAGACAUUUUAAUUUUACUUACCUUCCUUGAGCACACGGCAAAGUCAAAACACAAGCAGAAUCUUACUUAUGAAUAGAGGCAGAUUUAUUAAGCCAGGGGUAGGCAAACUAUAGCCAAUGAGCCAAAGCCAGGCUGCCAUGGGUUUUUAUAAAUAAAAUUUUAUAGGAACUCAGCCACAGACAUUCCUUUACAUAUUGCCUACAGCUGCUUAAGCACUACAAAGGCAAAGUUGCAUAUUUACAACACAAACAAUAUGGCCUGCAAGCCUAAAGUAUCUACUAUUGUGCCCUUUAUAGAAAAUGUUUAUCAGCUUUUGUUCUGUUAUCCUAAGUUAUGAGGCUUACAUUUCUGGCCACCUCAUUUGCAUUUGAGUUUCCAGUUUUGAGUUUGUAGUUUUGUAUUCUUGCUUGACGAGCCCCAAACCCUGACCUCCAAAUUGAAUGUGCUGUAGAUCCCACAAAAUAUGGAUCCAAUCAAGCUGAUGCCAUGUCAUUAUCUGUAGCUUUUAUUCUUUGCCAUCACACACCUUCCUUGAACAGUUAG
rnacentral:lncRNA from 1 species